rnacentral:rRNA from 1 species
UACGAAGGGGGCUAGCGUUGCUCGGAAUGACUGGGCGUAAAGGGCGCGUAGGCGGUUUGCACAGUCAGGCGUGAAAUUCCUGGGCUUAACCUGGGGGCUGCGCUUGAUACGUGUGGACUGGAGUGCGGAAGAGGGUCGUGGAAUUCCCAGUGUAGAGGUGAAAUUCGUAGAUAUUGGGAAGAACACCGGUGGCGAAGGCGGCGACCUGGUCCGUGACUGACGCUGAGGCGCGAAGGCCAGGGGAGCAAACGGG